AGCGAACGCUGGCGGCAGGCCUAACACAUGCAAGUCGAACGGAUCCUUCGGGAUUAGUGGCGGACGAGUGAGUAACACGUGGGAACGUACCUUUUGGUUCGGAACAACUCAGGGAAACUUGAGCUAAUACCGGAUGAGCCCUUAGGGGGAAAGAUUUAUCGCCGAAAGAGCGGCCCGCGUUAGAUUAGCUAGUUGGUGAGGUAAAGGCUCACCAAGGCUACGAUCUAUAGCUGGUCUGAGAGGAUGAUCAGCCACACUGGGACUGAGACACGGCCCAGACUCCUACGGGAGGCAGCAGUGGGGAAUCUUGCGCAAUGGGCGAAAGCCUGACGCAGCCAUGCCGCGUGAAUGAUGAAGGUCUUAAGAUUGUAAAAUUCUUUUACCAGGGACGAUAAUGACGGUACCUGGAGAAAAAGCCCCGGCUAACUUCGUGCCAGCAGCCGCCGUAAUAC
rnacentral:rRNA from 1 species